UCAAAAUCUUUGCAAAAAGACUUUGCAUUUACUGCUGCACUGUUCUUGCUCAAGUUUUGCAGAAAAAUCACAUUUUGGAACCUGCAUCAUUCAAUAUAACACCUGGCACAGUUACUUGCCUGGUUUCCAAGAAAAAAAUUCCAUGUUGCCUUCAUUUAUGGGGUACAGGUUAUGCUAGCGCCUAGACGGUGCUAGCAUAAACUUGUGUCGGCAGCUGCACAAAGCAGCCAUUCAGGGAGGGUUGCCACGUGUUGUCGGCUCUUCUGGGACAUGCGGCAACCCAACCUGAACGGCUGCUUUCUGCAGCUGCUGAAAGGCAGCAACACAAGCUUAUGCUAGUGCCACCAUUCCCAUAAACAAAGGCAGCUUUCCAUUUUUUUUUUCUUGAAAACCAAGCAAGUAACUGUACCAACUGUGACACUGAACGACCUAGAUCCAAAAAUUCAAUUUUUCUGCAAAAUUAGAGCAAUAACAGUGCAGCAGUAAGUGCAAAUUCUUUUUUCUAAGAUGUUAAGUGAAAUAUGCAUGUCCCUGUAUUUUUGUAAACUGCAAUAAAGGACUGUGAAGUAAAUUGCUAAAUUCACAGCAUGAGACUUUCUUAACCUGCCUUAUGCAAGCAUGCAGUAUUCAAUAUGGUAACUCAAACAUUUGCCAAGAAUCUUUUUUUUUUGGCAGUUUCUGUUUCUGAGUAUGUGUAUUUAGACCUCAAAAACAUGACUAGUUAACAUAUUUCAGCUUGAAGUUCAUGAACAAGGCAUUGCCCUCUUGGCAUCAGCUGUAGUGCCUUACCUGGAGCUCUCACAACCACCCAAGUUGCAAGAGGCUGCCAUUGAAUGCACCCAGAACUUGGCAAAGUGCAGUGCAGACACUGUGUGGUACUAUGUGGUCAAGGCACACUGCUCCAGCGAGCCCCUUUGGUCACCGGCUCCAUCACUGCAAGCACUUCCCUUCAGCCCAGAGCCCUGCUCCGAGAACACUAAUGUGUUGCGUGUAAUGGCCUUUCUAACCAGCAUGGAUGUGCCAAGACAAUGAACCGCAUAUUUGUGUAUACUUUGGUCACAUUCAUAUGCUGGUCAUCUCUUUGUGCCAAGAGGAUAUGGACUGUAUUUUAUUGAAUUAAAAAGCUUUCUCAGAAGAAAAAGUAAGAUAA